CGAGUGUGUAGGCCGCCCCGAGUGUGCAGGCCGCCCAGAGUGUGCAGGCCGCCCCGAGUGUGCAGGCCGCCCCGAGUGUGCAGGCCGCCCCGAGUGUGCAGGCCGCCCUGAGUGUGCAGGCUACCCCAUGUGUGCAGACUGACCCGCGUGUGCCGGCUGCCCCGAGGCCCUCCAGGCAGGCUGUAUGUACAGUUCCUGACCUACCGUGUUGGCAGAGACGUGAUUAUAGUACAAAGGAUCUUCUACACCCGUGUCCGCGGAAGACAAGCACUUUGAGAACUUGUUACCCACAAGGGGUGGGCACUUGCAGUUCUCCUGCCCAGAGCUUCUACUGUGCAUUGUGAGCAAGACGCAUGCCGCUCCCGAGAAAAUGUAUGGGGGAGGGUCUGACCGUUAGGAAAUGUCACCGGAAGUCUCAGUCUACCCCCAAGGCAGCCCUGACACACAUUCUGGUGUGUCGCUUUGUUCGUUUGACUGAACAGAAAUGGAAAUAAAGACCCUGCCCCUAUCCAGCAAGCUCCUCAGGCUGGGGUGGACCAAGGCUGGUGCCUUCCUCAUUCCUGUGAGGUCAAGGAGGGCUACACCUUCCCCUUUCCUGUGAGGUCAAGGAGGGCUACAGGAAGAGACCUUCU